rnacentral:rRNA from 1 species
GGGAUAGAAUUCCAGGAGUAGCGGUGAAAUGCGUAGAUAUCUGGAGGAAUACCAAAGGCGAAGGCAGUCCCCUGGUCCGAUACUGACACUGAGGUACGAAAGCGUGGGGAGCAAACAGGAUUAGAUACCCUGGUAGUCCACGCCCUAAACGAUGUCGAUUAGCCAUUGGAAGGACCCCUUUUCCUUUCAGUGACGUAGCUAACGCGUUAAAUCGACCGCCUGGGAAGUACGACCGCAAGGUUAAAACUCAAAGGAAUUGACGGGGACCUGAACAAGCGGUGAAUGAUGUGGAUUAAUUCGAUGCUACGCGAAGAACCUUACCUACCUUUGACAUGGCCAAAGUUCUACCGAGAGGCGGAAGUACUCGUAAGAGGAUUGGCGCACAGGUGCUGCAUGGUUGUCGUCAGUUCGUGUCGUGAGAUGUUGGGUUCAGUCCCGCAACGAACGCAACCCUUAUCUUUAAUUGCUCCUAUUUUAACAGGCACUUUAAAGAAACUGCCAAUGAUAAGUUGGAGGAAGGUGGGGAUCACGUCAAGUCCGCAUGGCCUUUAUAGGUAGGGCUUCACACGUCAUACAAUGGUUAGAACAAAGAGCUGCAAAUUCGUAAGAAGGAGCCAAUCUCACAAACCUAACCUCAGUUCGAAUUGCGGUCUGCAACUCGAGCGCAUGAAGCCGGAAUCGCUAGUAAUCGUGGAUCAGAAUGCCACGGUGAAUACGUUCUUAGAGAGUU